CACACAGGUACACACAUCCACAGACAGGUACACAAGACACAGACAGGUGCACACAGACAGGUAGAGAGGUACAAACAGGCACAUUCAGACAAACACAGGCACAGAUAGUUACAUACAGGCACACACGGACAGACUCAAGUACACACAGGCACAGAUAAGCAAACUCGGACACACAUGGCAUAGACAGUUACACAAAGGCAUCACUGUACUGCUUCCAUU